GUUUUGCUUUCCAGGGCCACUUCUGAUACCAAUGCUUGACCUGUUCAUCACAUCCAAAUCACCAAGCAAAGCUUCAGGCAAAGGCUUGCAAGCAGGAAGCUCAUUUGAGAAGUGUUCUCCAGCAGUAGGAAUGAGGAAUGGCGAAAUGACUCAAUUGUUUCACUCUAUGGGAAACUGGAGCCCAACUCCUCUAGGCACACCCACUGGAGUUGGAAUCUCAGAAUCAUUCACCCGAAGGGCAGAGAAAAGGAGCCUUUAUCCAUCGCUGUUUCCCAUCUGUCAGGGGUUGUCCCCUGAGCUGUACAUUCCCUGACACUUUCACAUUGCACAUGAGUGAGGACCAGAUCAGUUCCUGCAGAAAUAUGACCAUGAUACCAUCAAAAAAAGCUCCAGGAAGAAGAGAUUUGCUGGGAAGCCAAGGUUUACACCAGCACUAGUAUGAAAACGUAAGCAUUAAAGCCAGAUAACAGGUCGCAUACAAGAGCUCAGGAAUUAAGCUGUCAUAAGAGGUGGUGAAAUCUACCAACUGAAAAAGAACUCUUGAAGUAGACUACCUGGGUUCAUACCUGGGUCAUUCCACUUACGUGCAAGUGUUUAACCUGCAAGACAUUCUCCCUUCCGUUUCUUGAUAUUUGGACAUAGAAUUGAUCAUCCCUCAGAAGAAUUUUUGAUGAGAAGAUCUCUGCUUAUCGAACUCACCAUGCUUCUGGAGAGCAUGUUCUUACACUCUUACAUUCACUGAAUUACUUAGGAUGGCUCCAUCCCAAGGAUGCUGAUCACCUCACUGUUCCAAACCACUGAGGUUAUAAACCAGAAUUCUUAUUCUCCCAGACUCUACACGAAGUGUAAGUGGUAAUUUCACUUUUAAGUUAUGAGAUAACCAUAUGUUUACCCAGAUUAAUUAAUUUUCCCUUGGAAAAUGUUCCUUUAAUUAUAUUUUGCAUAUUUGAAUGAUUCCUAUUUUGCACCUGUGUUCAGAGGCACCUGAUUCUAAUGAAUUGAUUAUCUAGGCUAGAGAAUGAAUAUAAUUAUAUUUUGCCUACUUUGAUGAUGAACUUUUCAUGUUUGACCUAGCUGGCAUUUUGUACCCUAUCUUAUCACCUCAUUAACUCUAUUAAGACAUUUCAGUGAUCUUUAACAUCUUAUAGGUAUGUAAUUAAAGUAUAAAUUUAGUCAAAUUUAUAUUGUAACUAAUAUUAUAGAGCCGAGACAACUUGGCAUUCUCUUCUUGCUUUCUCUGAGAAAUUUACUAGCUUGGAACUUCUCUGGCCAAUUAUUUUCACUGUUGUAUUCCCCAACAAGGAUUUUUUAUUUGUUUUGCUUUGACAAUUUUUCUUUGAUGACCACUUUGUCUGUUCAAUCCAGUCUCCAACAUGCACACAGAACAAAAGUUUGAAGGAGUUAUUCAGAUCAUUUGAGCCAACAUCAUAUUUUGUGUUUAGAUUACCGGACUAAGAAGAGCACAGCUAAAAUUUUCUUUCAUGCCUUAUCCAAACAACAGUCUAAUUACCCUUUCAAUUCCAGCUGUGAAAGCCAACCAGUGGGAAGUGAAAUAAUGCUUUUUCCAGGUCCCAAAGCAAAUUAUUAGCAGCUGUGAACCCAGCAAUCUCUACUAUCUCCAUAGGUGCCCAUCAAAUAUGACCUCAUGUCGCCACUGAAUUGGAAGAAGAUAUUUUUCCAUUCUUCCUUAGAACUAUGGGAAAUACAUUGAGACUCACCGUUUUCCUGUUUGGAAGUCAAAGCUCUUAGAGGAAAGGAAUGUUGACUGUCUUGUUCACACUGUAUCCCCAGCACUUAGAACCACCCUGUUACUUAAGUAGGUGGUAGAAAACAUUUGCCAAAUGAAUGGAUACAUAACAUAUUAAAGACACAGAUUAGGAGUUUGUUGGCAAUAUGCGCUUUAUGCUGAUGUCUCCUAGAUAUAAAUAAAUGUCAUAGUAUUGUUGGGACUCAGAAAACAAUAGCCCAAAAUGAAGGUCUCAGAAGCAAAAGUUUUUCUUGGACUUUUUCCUGCCCUCUGUCUCUCAUCCCAUCCUCUCCCAAGGCUAGCCAUGGAAACGAGAAUCUCUCUUCCCCAAGGGAGGUCAUAGAAGCCAGAAAUGCUUUUCCCCCCAAACAAGCUAUAAAACCUAAAAAUAUCAUUCUAACUCCCCAACUCCAACCUUUCUGUGUAAAAACCACCACCAAUAAGGGCUGGAUAUGGUGGCUCUUGAAUGUAAUCCCAGCGUUGUGGGAUGCUAAGGUAGGAUGAUCACUUGAGUCCAGGAGUUUAAGAUCUGCCUGGGACCCUGACUCUACAAAAAAUUUAAAAAUUAGGUGGAUAUGGUGGUGCAGGCUUGUAAUCCCAGCCACUCAGGAGGCUGAGGCCAGAGGAUUGCUUAGAUCCAGGAGUUUGAGGCUGCAGUGAGCUAUGAUCAUGCCGCUGCACUCUACCUGGGUGACAGAAUAAAACCCUUUCUCGAACAAAACAAAACAAAAUAUCCACAAGCCAUAAGGAAAUUAUUUGAUCUACCUUGUUUGACUGAUAUGGUUGGCUGUGUCCCCUCCUAAAUCUCUUCUUGAAUUUUAGCUCCCAUAAUUCCCUCAUAUUGUAGGAGAGACGUGGUGGGAGAUAAUUGAAUCAUGCAGGCGGUUUCUCCCAUGCUAUUCUUGUGGAAGUAAGUUUCACGAGAUCUAACGCUUUUAUGAGGAGAAACCCUUUUCACUUGGCUCUCUCUCUUGCAUGUGCUUUUUCUUCUAUUAAUCUGCCUCUUUUCAGUGAUUUCCAGUGAACAUUCAGAGGGUAAAGGGAAAGUUUUCCCUUGGCCUGGACAGUAUCUUGAAUUUUUUUUUUUUUUUUAAUUUGGGAGGCUUCUUGAAUUUGAAAAUGGCAGAUCCAUGGAAUUCACAAGCCUGAUAAACACACAGGCAUAACAUUUCCCCCUUCUGAGACCCUCUGCAAGUCAGACUAACAUUCCAUUUUUACUGGGGAAAGGAGGUGAGUUCUCCAGUGAUGUCCACAUCUGCAGCAUCCUUUCAGGAACAGAAAAAGCAGAAAGUAUACAACAAUAGCUGGAGCCAGACACAGUAGCUCAUGCCUGUAAUCCCAACACUUUGGGAAGCCGAGGUGGAAGGAUUACUUGAGGCCAGGAGUUCGAAACUGGCCUGGAAUACAUAGUGAGAUACCAUCUGUUUAAAAAAAGUAUGACAUAGAAUAAUAGCUUGUUGAUGAAGAUCCACAGUUAUAGAAAGUGACCCACCACACCCACUCACACCAAAACAACAAGUGGAAGAAGGCAGAACAAGAAUCAUUCUUAACACAGAAGCAAGAUAUUUUCAGCCUCAACAUCUGAGAGUGGCCUUCCCAGAGGCUCUGUUUAGACCACCUUGGCCUAAACUGAUGUUGAGUCCCGUAAUAAUCAGUUAAAGGAUUUGUUAGUGGCAUGAGUAUGUUAUAUGGCUCUGGAUUUAGGGGGUGGAAGGAAGUCAAAAAUCUUUGAAAAGUAUAGGCUAAAAUGCUUUUCUCUGUGGUCCAGUUCUUAGUUCUAGCCCUCUGCUAUGAUUCUCACAGAACAUUGUGCAUGCACGGAUUGGAUUCCUUGUUCUUUAAUUGGAUGACUCCUAAAUUUGACCUCCAGCUUUGUCCUCUCUAGUGAAUAGAAAACAUUCCCAUUUCUAGAAGCUUCCUGGAUGUCUCACCACCUUGAUUUCCCACCAGUACCUCAAUUAAGUUCCUGUUUAUCUGCUCCUCCUGCCCAAACUAGACCUUCCUCUCGGCCUAUUUUCUAUGAUGACACUAUUGAGCCGCUGUCAGGCCUCUCAGGCUACAUUUCCUAGAUUUAUCUUUAGUUUCUCCCCCUCUCUUUUCACCUCUUCUAUAUAUUUUCUCUGUCACCAUCUUCCCCUCUUAUAGCAUCAACACUGGUCCCUUGACUUCACUUACUUCCUAACCUGAUCAAUCCUAUAUGGCACUUCCAAAACAUUUUUCUUCAGAGUUGUUGUAUGUAGGUCUCACGCCAUGCUGCUGUUCCAAGAGGAAAUUUGCCUUGCAAUUGAGAUGAAACUGAGUAGGAGACUGGCAGGACUUAUUUCCCAGUCUUGAGAGGAUGAAGUGAAGAAACCAGGCUGAGAUCAUACCUGCACUUUGGGAAGCUUGAGCCCAGGAGUUCAAGACCAGCCUGGGAAACAUAACAAGACCUUGCAUCUACAAAGAUUAGCUGAGCAUGUUGAUUUGUGCCUGUAGUCUCGCUACUUAGGAAACUGAGAUGGGAGGAUUGCUUAAGCCUGGGAUAUCAAGGCUUCAGUGAAUUAUGUUCAUGCCACUGUACUCUAGCCUAGUCAACAGAGUGAGACCCUCUCUCAAAAAAAGAAUAGCGUGAUCAACAGAGUGAGACCCUGUCUCAAAAAAAGAAAAGAAAAAGAAAGGAAGAAAGAAACCAACCAGCAGGAACCAGCAGAAAGUGAAGAAAGUGAUCAUUAGCUAUCUUCAUUGAUUAUUAGCAUGAGACACUCCCACCAGUGCCAGGACAGUUUACAAAUGCCAUGGCAAUGACCCAAGAAGUUACUUCUCUUUUCCAUGGUAACAACCCAGAAGUUACUGCCUCUUUUCCUAGAAGUUCAAAGUAACUCCCCCUCAAUUUGCAUGUAACUGAAAGUGGAUUCACGUGAGUUAUAAAUACAGUUGCCAAGAGCCCAGACUGUUGCUGACUGUAGUGCGCUGCCUAUGAGUCAGCCCUGCUCCACAGGGAGCAGCACCAUUCAAUAAAAGAUUGUUGUCUGACUCCACUGGCUCAUCCUUGAAUUCUUUCCUGGGUGAAGCUGAGAACCUUCCUGGGCUUAGCCCCAGUUUGGAGGCUCACCUGUCCUGCAUCAA